CUUCACGCAGACACUGAAAACAAGCGACAUCUAAGCAUUAACCCAUUUUACCAGAGUUGUGCGUCUGAUGGAGUGACAAAAUGUAUCGCUAUAAGCUAAAUAUUAUUAUUACCGCAACGCUAUUGCCUCAAGAUUUGCUGCACAGACACUCUGGCCGAAGGGAGCUCUAUUAGAUCAAAAGCCACAAUCUCUAACAACACACGGAGUCAGUGCACCAUGCCUCCUGCACCACAGAUGUUGCACUUGGCUGACCUGACAAACAUCAACAAGUCACAGGAUAACACUGGAGAGAGUGCACCUCCUUUGUGUCCAUGGAGAUGCUGCUGCUUUGCCUGGAAUGUUUCAGUAAGCUCACUACUUUUGAAGAAAGACAUUUUGAGGAUUUUUGCCAAUUGAAAAAGACAGGACAAAGACUAAAAUCCAUAUUGGAAUGUUGUUACCUCAUCUAAAACAUAUUUGGAGUUGUAUUUUGUUUCAUUCAUACAUGUAAUUCUGUAUUACUGGGCUGUGUAUAUCUCUGAAGUUCAAAAUUCUCUCUUCCACCUUGUGAUAUCAUGAAGCAGUAGUUUUCAAGUUAACAUACACUUUUUUCCUUUUGUUUAGUAGAGCUGGAACUUCCAGAAAUUAUCCAGAUGAUUCUAAUGAAGGUGUAUGGACUUUAAAAACAAAGUGGAGCACUUCCUGUAUUAACACAUAACAUCAAAAGGUAUUUUCUGUUUGAGAGACAAACUCAGCCUAAAUCUGCAGGAUUUGUGUGUUAAACAUUUGUGAAUGAAACAAAACACAACUCCGGGUAUGUUUUUGAUAAAGAAACAACAUUAUAUAUAGCAGAAAAUAACAUAUUAUGAGCCCUAAAAUACCCUCUGUUAAUAUACUGUCAUAGAACAAAUAGCUUGUCCAAAUAUUUGCUACAAAAACAUAUGAAAAGGGGACAGUGGAUAAUGGUACAUAAUGAGCAAUGGAACCAAACCCAACUUCCCCCCAAAAAAAAAAAUCACAAAAUAUUUACUCAGCACAUAACACUCUCCUAAAAUAAGCUACACCGUCUUGUCUCCAUCCUCCUAAAUCAUCUUGGCUGCCAGCUGAAAGUAACUCUGUCUCUGCAGCACUCAACACCAAAAGUGCAAUAAUGUCUAAAUCAAACCAGAGCCUUUUUUAAGUCUGUAGCAUUCAUUUAUAUCCAAAGUGGCACAAGACAGGGACACUGCUGAGCAAAAGCUGGCUCAUGUGACAGAAGCCAGGCCACUAAGUUCAGAUUUCUGAUGUACAUAGUGCUCCUGAAAAGACUGUAUGCAAUUCUACACUUGAAUUUAUUUGGCCUAUCCAAAAUAUAGCACAAGUCAUAUAAUUAUAAUAUGAUGUCCAUGUAUUAUGAAGCCUUUCUGUUCAAAAUGUUGUUUAAUUCUCAUAAGAUGCAAAAUUAAUAGCUUUAUGUAAUACUGUGAAAAAGAUAAAUCUAAAUAUUCUCUUCAAACUUACUUUUACUGUCUCUCCCAAAAGGACGGUCACUAAAAGUAGCACCUCGUUGUGGGAUUGCGCUUCAUGGCAACCAGGCUUUAGUGGGCCUCAAUUAGCAGAAAGGCAGGGCUCUGGGGAGAGCCUGUUCCAUCUAGAGCUAAAGCCCCAGGAGGCAAAGAGAGCAGCACUCAUGUACUGUAAGCCCAUUACUGCAGUGUAACAAAUAUCCAGUGCACCCUGUCCCUGUGAGGACACAUACAGACAAAUAUUAUGAAGGCUCAAAUUAGACGCAUCAAGUUCUUAACAUGUUGAUCUUUUGGCCAAACAGACACUAUGCAUAGGAUUGAGGUGAAAGUAAAGUUUGUCUCCUUUAUUAGAGUCAACUGCCACAUCACGGGAAUAACUCAUCUGGAUUUAUAAAUUAACUUUGACUUAUUUUUGUGUCUCUGUCUGUCUGUCUGUGUGUCUCCCCAACCAUUUCCUCUACAUCUGUUUAUUUCACACCAAAGUAAAUUCAUGUCCUCUUUUACUACAUGGCCUCUUGGAAAGCAGAUCUCUAAUCCUCACCUUCACUACCCCUACUCUGCACAUAUUAGACUGUGCUCUUUAAACUAUCAAUGUAUUAAUUUAUAAUCCUUUAAAUUCUUGUUAUCACCUACAAUUUGCCCAAACAGAAACUGUCUCAAACAUAGGUCUAUAGUGUCAUGAUUCUCUAAGUGCAGACUACUAAAGUUGUGUAUUUGUCUGAACCUUAUUCUUCCAAAACUAUUUAUUUAGAACUGAGCUGCAAUCAGUAAAGCAGAAUAAAAAAAAAAUAAAAAACUAUUGCUUUGUCUAGAAUUUUUCACAGUAGGGCAUUAAAUUUCCAUGAAUGCAAGGACAAGGCCAAGGCCAAGUUACAGGUCAAAACUAUGGAGAGACAAGCCUGCUCACAGUAAGAAGAAUGCAUCUUUUUCAAGAGUUUUCUUUUGUUUACCUGCAAUUAAAUACAUGCAGAUCAAUUUAAUGCCAUACUGUGGAACAUUCCAGGUAAAGCAAUAACAACUCAUCAGUUAUGAACAGAGUUUUGAAGGAAUGUAUUUUGAGCUUUGGAGAUGUAGACAGACAAAUAAUGGGAUUACAUGUGAGAAUGAAACAAAACACAACUCCAGGUAUGUUUAUGAGGAGGUUACAACAUUAUAACAUGUCUUAAAAUUCAAUUUUGCAUAAUAUAGGACCUUUAAGUGGUUUUAACAAUGGACUAAAAGCUGUAAUUUGAUCAUUAAAAUCAUUAUGUAUUUGGGUCAGACAAUCUGCCUGAUAGAGCAGCAGUGUGGCAUGUUAUAUCAUUCCUUGUGAUAGUGACUGGUAACUAUAACCAAACAUACACAUUUCUGUCCUUCCUCUUUGGAUCAUGUUUUUCUCCUCCAUUUGGUGACUUUCACAGUUGCAGCUGUGGCAAUAGCAUUUAGCCUGAAUAUGAUGACGUCUUUGGCCUUGUGAGUCAUCCAGCAGGACUCAAGGGCUGCCAGGGAAACCAGCUCCCCUCUCAAUAACCGUACACCUUUCUCCCCAUAAAACUGCAGAUAAAGGAGAACACAGUAUCAGUAACAGCAGACCAAACAGAAUGACUAUUACAAUAAAGACAUAAAAACGCCAUAGAUAGACUCCUUUGCAGAUCCACCACCAGCACGCUGACUUUGAAGGGAGAUCACCCAUGGCCCAAGUACAAAAUAAAGAAUAUGAUGAUUUUAAGAUCAAUUAUCUAUUGUCUAAGGCUUAAAAUGCACUGGUGCCUUUACCAUUAUAUCUUAUUUUAGAAUGAGAGUGGAAAGUGACUGAUGUUAUCAUGUAUUACAUGUGUUACAAUGUAUUUAUGUUUCUGGUACUUGGGAUGCAUUUAGGACAUUUUCAGCUUUUGAGCCUUUCAGCUCUUAGAUAAUUAUAAUUUAAUUUAGAUAAGAGAUAUUGGACUUAUAAGGUCAUUACAAUGUUCUUUAAUGGGGCUAACCCACAGUGUUUAAAACAAUUCUUAUUUCCAUAGAAGGUCACUUAUGUAGUGAUAAUUUAAUGUUAUUUUUUGUGCCAUCUUACUUUCUUUUUAAGUGCAAAUAUAAUGUGAUA